AGUUGUGGUAAAUACGACAGUAAAUGGACGGCUCUGAUGGAUGGUUCCCCUCCAGCUCUUUCAAGAUGGGGGAUUAUCAGUGUUCUCUGCUGCAUUCUCCAAACCACAGCCAAGAAGGGAGGGUUUGGAUAAUUGUUGACUUGCCUCCAUGAGCAAAAUGAAGUGACCAGCAGAGACAGACAAGAUCAUGUUAAAACUCAAAUAAGGAGAGACAUGUCAAACAGUAAAAAAAUGUGAAGCAGACAAGCUAAGUAUAUUUAAAGUCAUAAGCAAUUAGUAAUUAAAAGAUAAGAUAAAACAGAAAUAAGGAGUUUGCAAUAUAAUUCUUAUCUGGUUCUUGUAAUUGCUUCUAAGCCUGAGGCUGGUGUUUGGGGUCUAUUUCUUUUCCUAAUCCUACCAAAGUAAAAUUUAAUCCUCCCGAGUAGGUCAUUUAAAGUCUCAUCUAUGUGAAGACCCUUAAGUAAAUAUCACAGAAUCACAGAAUAAUCUAGGUUGGAUGAGACCUUCAAUAUCACUGAGUCCAACCUGUGACCUAACACUAACGAGUCCUUCACUAAACCAUAUCACUAAGCUCUACAUCUAAACGUCUUUUAAAGACCUCCAGGGAUGGACUCAACCACUUCCCUGGGCAGCCUAUUACAAUGCCUAACAACCCUUUCAGUUCUUCCUAAUAUCCAACCUAAAUCUUCCUUGGUGCAACUUUAACCCAUUCCCCCUUGUCCUGUCACCAGGCACACGGGUCACCAGGAUACAUAGGUGCAUAUUGUCAAAGUCAUGUAUUUGGAAGCAAAAUAGAAUGCUGUUUAGACAUUCAUUUAUUUAUUUAUGCUGCUUCUUCAUAUUUUUACUUAUAUUUUGAUUAUGUAAAUCAGGGGUACUCUAAUCCCAGGAACAAUGAGGGUCAGAUGGACCUUUCUGGGCCCUCCAACUGAGCACGUGAUAUUCUUCCCCUCAAAGCUGCAGCUUCUGGCAUUGUCUGGCACUGACAUUCACUUGGUGCUGCUGCUUCAGGAGAAAGGAAUUGUUUUUGAGGAGGCGAAAAAAAGCCCUCUGCCUUGGAUGAGGAUGUUCGGUGGGCCACCAUCUAACCAAGGUGCCCUCUAUUCAGUGUAUGCUUACCUCGGUCACUGGACAUCAUCAUUACUUCCUUGCUCAGAGUGCUUUUUCUGAUUCCUACACUAUGGUACUUUCUGGACUGAAUGGAUCUCUGUCUGUCAGUGAUCAAAGCUGUCAGUUGCUGUUUAUUUCCUCACCUCCUCAAUUUGGCUCCUGGGAGGAUGUUUCAACAGACGUUUUAGAGAGAUGGAAAAAAACAAUGUCCUAUUAAACUAAUGACCCUUGGCUAUACUAUCUACAAAUGAAUGCAGGCACAGACAAUUGCCCAGUUUUGUACUGAGGUUGUGUAUGCAUAUUUUUGAUAUCAAUACUCUCUCUUUUUUUUUUUUUUUUUUUUAAUUUCAAAACUCUUAUGCAUAUUGUCUAGCUAUAAAAUGUAUGCAUAUAACAUCAAAAAAAAAGUGUAUUAUUUCCACUUAACAGUAAUUAUCCCAAUGUAACUAUGCUACUCCACUAAUUAUUUUUGCUUAUUAAGAAUAUUAACAAAGUUCAUGUCCAGAUUUUCUGGUAGAAAGCACUGGUGGCUCUUCUGUUUAUUCUUUUCAGAAGGCUUCUGUAAAGAAUUUCUGAAGCCUUUUUAUUACGUUAGUUUUUGUUUGUUUGUUUGUUUUGUUUUGUUUUUACAGAAUCAAAAAUCUGGGAUAAAUUUGUUGUGACUAGCUAUUAGCAAACAAGAUUUUCUAUUCAGAACAGCAAUAAGCUCUUUCUUUUGGAUAACAUAGCUGUAGUGUUUCACAAAUUCAACUCCAUCUUCAUGUCCUACGAUCACCGCACUAAUCCCAAAUAUUGCUGGUGAUUUUUACUAACAAAUGGUUUCUCCACUAUCAACAUUCUGCUUAAUAGGUUAUAUUUAAUAUAUUUAAUAUAUUUGCAUUACACAAAUGUUGAGAGGACUUUUUAAAAAAGACUUUUUUUACUGUAUUGGAUGAGGGAUUUUGGAGACCAUGAUGGAGGAAAAAAAAAAAGUGGAAAGACCUUGAGAAAGAGAGAAAAAGAAAGAUAAAGAACAUUUUUUUUUUUUUUUAUGUCAUUGAACAGAAUAGCUGACUAGGAAUACAUGAAGAGCUGUUCAGGAUGAGAUUUUAGCAUGAACAGAAAAACAAUGGUCUGAAAGAGAGACACACAUCUUUGCACAGAAACAGCAGUUGAAUAUGUAUUUAAAAGAGGGGAGAGGAGAGGAAAGGAUGGGGGGUGGGGAGGGGAGGAGAUUUCUAACGACUUGUUGGACUCUAAAGAAGGCUGAAGGUGACUGCACUGGGAUGCUCUAAAGGAAAAACAAACAAACAAACAAAACACACAGGAAAAGUAAAAACUUACCAGUUAAAAGAAAGGUGAGGGCUGAUGUUGGGUCAGCAUGAGGAGAAAAUACUAGGAGUGUAGACUAAAAUGUCAAAAGUACUGGAAUCAUUAAGAGCAGAUCCAGUAAAGCCUAAGAAAUGAGGAGAGGGAAAGAGGAGAAAGAGAUUAAAAUGAAAGAACAACUCUUCACAGUUAAUGUUGAGAAUAUAUUCAGUAUUUUUAAAAUUGAAAGGAGGCAGAGAGAUUAACAGUUGGAGAAGCAGGGGAGUUCACUUGACAGUUUUUAAAAUUUAUUUUUAUAUGCAUUAAAAUUUAUUAAACAAGAAGAAACUUGAAGCAUAUUUUUAUUUCUAGAAGAAGGAACUAUAAGAUACAGGGAAAAAGAGGCUAUGAUAAAGUAGUGAAGGAUGAGAGUAGCCACACUGGAAUUUGGAAAACAUGGUCAGACAGGACCGUAAAAAUGGAAAUGUGAGGACGCAAGGUAUCAAAUGCUGAGGAGAGUGGACUAAAUCAUCUCUGUCUGUGAAAGAAAAACAUAGGAGCUGUGGUUAAAGGGAAUGAGAAAGGGAAAAAACUCAAGCCAUACUGUGUUUGCUAAUUUUUCUCCUGGAAGAAAUCAUCCACAUUACCGGGAAAGACACAGAAACUUUAUUGUAAUAACCGAUUCCUCAUAACACUUUGUAAUACAUAUAGCAUAUAAUAAAGCAAAACACUGUGAACUGCA
rnacentral:lncRNA from 1 species